CCUACGGGAGGCAGCAGUGGGGAAUUUUGGACAAUGGGGGCAACCCUGAUCCAGCAAUGCCGCGUGAGUGAAGAAGGCCCUCGGGUUGUAAAGCUCUUUUGUCAGGGAAGAAACGGUCUACUCUAAUACAGUGGGCUAAUGACGGUACCUGAAGAAUAAGCACCGGCUAACUACGUGCCAGCAGCCGCGGUAAUACGUAGGGUGCAAGCGUUAAUCGGAAUUACUGGGCGUAAAGCGUGCGCAGGCGGUUUUAUAAGUCUGAUGUGAAAUCCCCGGGCUCAACCUGGGAACUGCAUUGGAGACUGUAAGGCUAGAGUGUGUCAGAGGGGGGUAGAAUUCCACGUGUAGCAGUGAAAUGCGUAGAUAUGUGGAGGAAUACCGAUGGCGAAGGCAGCCCCCUGGGAUAAACACUGACGCUCAUGCACGAAAGCGUGGGGAGCAAACAGGAUUAGAUACCCUGGUAGUCCACGCCCUAAACGAUAGUCUACUAGUUGUCGGGUCUUAAUUGACUUGGUAACGCAGCUAACGACGUGAAGUAGAACGCCUGGGGAGUACGGCGCGAAGAUUAAAACUACAAAAUAGAAAUUAGAACGACGUGAACUAGACCAAGGACGACGACAGGGAGAGGGAG
rnacentral:rRNA from 1 species